GUGUGGUCCCACCCGAUCCCAUCCCGAACUCGGAAGUGAAACGCACCUGCGCCGAUGGUAGUGUGGCUCUAGCCAUGCAAGAGUAGGUCACCGCCAAGG
rnacentral:rRNA from 1 species